AGCAAAAUGAUGAGAUUCUUUUGUCUGAAUAUGAUGUAGAACCUCAUAUCAUAUUGGUCUUCAAAGUUCUCUGAUUGUU